CUUCCAGGCUUGGGCUUUGACAGGAAUCUUUCUAUUUGGGCCAGCCAGUGCAGCCAUCUGUUACAUUGUGUGCAUCAGGCCAAGAUCUUUUGCCUGCUCAAAAGAGACUUUUAUGCUUUUCCAGCAUUUUUACACAGCACAAGGGAUCUGGUUUGAGAGGACCCUCCACCCAUAAGCACAGGAAACACAGCACAAAGUGUUAAAAAUGCCAAUGGAAAUUCACCUUGAAUGGAAAUAGACCAACAACAACUGCAAACAAUUCAUGGUAUGAAAAUCCAUUGUGAAACUAGAGUGGCACACAUCACGUUAUAUGGCUGUUGUAGUACAUCAUUCAGUGCUGUAAGGAACUGAAGGAAGGAAUGCCUCAAGCAUUCAUUGACACAGAAAACCUCAAGGACAAGCUGUGGUCAUUGUGAUUAGUCUAAGGAAAAUCGCCCAAAGAAGUGGCAAUGUAUUGAAGGAUGCACCCCCCACUCCCUUGCAGUUGUAUUGACAAACUCCUUGGAUAGGCCUCAAAGAGGGGAAACCUGGACUGAGUGAAACCAAAUGUUUCUCAUUAAGCACAAGGACCACUAAUCACUGGCUCCACUGUGUAAGCCUGACACUUAGUGGCUCUACUGUGUGGGCCAGACACCCUGCAUGCAUCGCUAAUGGCUUCAUGACUUCACCACUGAAGAGGUGAUAAGAACUGAUAAGAGGUGAUCAUUUCUGCCCCAGAAGCUGGAUGAUUGCUCAAGAAGCAUUAAGUCAGCAAAAAUCUGGGAACUGAGGAAAAAGAGAUGGGCAGGGCAAGCAUGACCACCAACUCAAUUGGAAAAGGGGGUUGGUGCAACCCAUUCCUCCUCAAUGCACGCACAGAACCCACGCUCCACCUUUUUCCUUGUCUCUCAGGGAAAUGAGUUUGUGGAAUACCUGCCUCUCUUUCUAGUUUGCUAAGCAGCUGAUAAGAUGAACUUAAAAGGCAACAGAAACUUUGCUGUGUGUGCACCUACCACCCAAGAUUACCGGACCUGAGACAGCGUUGGAUCUAGAGGUGGUGACUGAAUUUCUUUGACUUUCUUUCUCUCUCUCUAUUUUAUUUCUUUUCUUUUAGAUUUAUGAGACCUCACUGCUUAUUAUCCUUUUCCAAGUUUAAGUUGUUCUCUACUGCAAGUAAAAUAUUUUAACUGGUCAUUUGAUGUUGUUUCACCUUAAUUUAACCCAAGGGGAUCAUAAAACUGUUAUGACUCUCUGGAAUCCCAGCCUGGGUCAUGACAAGUGUCUAUUCACUAUCCAAUACCAUGGUAUAAUUGCAUAAUUCAGAAAGUAAUCCGAAAGAGAUCACAAAUUUCCGCUGCAGAGAGAGUUACAU
rnacentral:lncRNA from 1 species